AAAAAAAAAAAAAAAAAAAAAAAGUAAAUAUUUUAUUCAAAAUUUUAUAAGCUUUGAUAAUCACCACAGUAUUUUAAAGUCCUCCAGUAGUGUAUUAUGUAAGCAACACGACUAACAAAUUUGAGAAAAAGAAGAACAGGUUGUUAUGUAGUAUAUUCUUCAAGAAAAAAAUAUAUUUUAUGUCUAUUGAAAUUCAUUGUUCCUACACAGUACUGUGUAAGAGAAAAUAAUUUAAAAAAUUAUCAGUAUUUCAAGAGAAUUCUGCCCAUUUUCCUCUGGUGUGGAUUUCUGCUUCAGAAAUGGACUUAGAAACAGAGGAGGAGCACCUUUUGGGAAAGACCAUUCAUAACUACAAAGAAAUCAGUGAGUAGCAAGACCCCAACAUCUGACUGGUAAGUCAUAUACUGGACAUAAAAUCUUUCC
rnacentral:lncRNA from 1 species